UCGGGUGUAGUGCACGGCGCACGGCAGCUUGCUGAGGUCACCAAGAAUGUAAGCCGCAGACCGGGGUUCGACUCCCCGCACCUGAC